rnacentral:lncRNA from 1 species
GUCUGCUUCCCAACCAUCAGUUGACCCAAGGCGCAGGCCUCUGCAGCUCCAGCUUGAGUCACCCAACUGGCCCUGCCCAGGACUGAUCCAUCCUCAGGAAUGGUUCUGACGACAGAAGACUGUCCAGGAAGGCUGGCUCACCCCAGCUCUCCCGUACCUGCUCCUUAGCUCGUGUGUGUAUAUGACAGGGUGACUGGGGUGGGGUCUCUCACCAGCGGGCUGUGGGGGCCCUCGAGGCAGGUCCAGCUCUGGUGGGUGGCUGCUCCGCGUGAUGAUGACCGGCUCCUCCGUCACGUUGAUGCUGUUACACUGCAUGAGGUCCUGCAGCAGGUUGAAGAUGUCCUCUGCCCUCGAACACUUGAAUGCAAAGAUGCCUGGGGAAGGACGAGAAAGACGGCACGAUAUGUGAAAGCUGGACAAGACCAGAAGGACAGAAGUGGUGAUACGUGGCUGUAAUCCCACACUUGGGAGGGAUGAGGUGCAUGCCAGGAAAGGCCCUUCAGCAAUCAACCCGGAACACGCAUUGCUUUGUGCUGUCUCGGGAGAGACAGCUCUGUCUGCGUGCAGCACAGUCCCAAGAAGGACUCCUCGUGCUGAGCAUGUGUGGACCUAAGAAGCAAGGCCAGACCUCAUGUCCCAACCUCAAGCUCAUGAGCAGCCUGCCAGCCCCUGAGCCCUGCCUGUAGAGGGCACAUGGGCAGGGGAUACAGUAUACUCCACUGCCCACAGGUGAAGGUGGACAAAGGUCAGGCUCUGGAAGGUUACGCUGUAUAUGAGAGACCCAAAAUCCUGCUGCCCAAGUCUCUGUGCAAGCUCCUCAGCCCUGAGUAGCCAUUCUCCUGCCUGACUUCUCUUCCACUGUGCACGGAGGCCAGUGUGUAGGGCCUGGCAGCUCAGGAGGGGUUUUCCUAUGCAAAGGCAAUAAAGACCUUGGAACCAUGGCAA